UGGGGAAUUUUGGACAAUGGGGGCAACCCUGAUCCAGCCAUGCCGCGUGUGUGAAGAAGGCCUUCGGGUUGUAAAGCACUUUCGGACGGAACGAAAUCGCGUCGGUGAAUAUCCGGCGUGGAUGACGGUACCGUAAGAAGAAGCACCGGCUAACUACGUGCCAGCAGCCGCGGUAAUACGUAGGGUGCGAGCGUUAAUCGGAAUUACUGGGCGUAAAGCGUGCGCAGGCGGUUUCGCAAGUCAGACGUGAAAGCCCCGGGCUUAACCUGGGAAUGGCGUUUGAAACUACGAGACUUGAGUAUGGCAGAGGGAGGUGGAAUUCCACGUGUAGCAGUGAAAUGCGUAGAUAUGUGGAGGAACACCGAUGGCGAAGGCAGCCUCCUGGGCCAAUACUGACGCUCAUGCACGAAAGCGUGGGGAGCAAACAGG
rnacentral:rRNA from 1 species